rnacentral:tRNA from 1 species
UAGAAGAUAGUAUAAGUGGUAGUACUUAAAGUUUUGGGCUUUGGUGUAUAGGUUCGUGACCUAUUCUUCUA